rnacentral:rRNA from 1 species
UGGGGAAUUUUGGACAAUGGGCGAAAGCCUGAUCCAGCAAUGCCGCGUGUGUGAAGAAGGCCUUCGGGUUGUAAAGCACUUUUGUCCGGAAAGAAAUCCUUGGCUCUAAUACAGUCGGGGGAUGACGGUACCGGAAGAAUAAGCACCGGCUAACUACGUGCCAGCAGCCGCGGUAAUACGUAGGGUGCAAGCGUUAAUCGGAAUUACUGGGCGUAAAGCGUGCGCAGGCGGUUUGCUAAGACCGAUGUGAAAUCCCCGGGCUCAACCUGGGAACUGCAUUGGUGACUGGCAGGCUAGAGUAUGGCAGAGGGGGGUAGAAUUCCACGUGUAGCAGUGAAAUGCGUAGAGAUGUGGAGGAAUACCGAUGGCGAAGGCAGCCCCCUGGGCCAAUACUGACGCUCAUGCACGAAAGCGUGGGGAGCAAACAGGAUUAGAUACCCUGGUAGUCCACGCCCUAAACGAUGUCAACUAGUUGUUGGGGAUUCAUUUCCUUAGUAACGCAGCUAACGCGUGAAGUUGACCGCCUGGGGAGUACGGUCGCAAGAUUAAAACUCAAAGGAAUUGACGGGGUCAUAGCUGUUUCCU